UAAGUAGGUGGCGAGCGUUGUCCGGAAUUACUGGGUGUAAAGGGCGUGUAGGCGGGAAUGUAAGUCAGAUGUGAAAUUCCGAGGCUCAACCUCGGCGCUGCAUCUGAAACUGCGUUUCUUGAGUGUCGGAGAGGAAAGCGGGAUUCCCAGUGUAGCGGUGAAAUGCGUAGAGAUUGGGAGGAACACCAGUGGCGAAGGCGGCUUUCUGGACGAUAACUGACGCUGAGGCGCGAAAGCGUGGGGAGCAAACAGG
rnacentral:rRNA from 1 species